CCUUUAUAGAGUUUGAUCCUGGCUCAGAUUGAACGCUGGCCUCAUGCCUUACACAUGCAAGUCGAACGGCAGCACGGGUGCUUGCACCUGGUGGCGAGUGGCGAACGGGUGAGUAAUACAUCGGAACAUGUCCUGUAGUGGGGGAUAGCCCGGCGAAAGCCGGAUUAAUACCGCAUACGAUCUACGGACGAAAGCGGGGGACCUUCGGGCCUCGCGCUAUAGGGUUGGCCGAUGGCUGAUUAGCUAGUUGGUGGGGUAAAGGCCUACCAAGGCGACGAUCAGUAGCUGGUCUGAGAGGACGACCAGCCACACUGGGACUGAGACACGGCCCAGACUCCUACGGGAGGCAGCAGUGGGGAAUUUUGGACAAUGGGCGAAAGCCUGAUCCAGCAAUGCCGCGUGUGUGAAGAAGGCCUUCGGGUUGUAAAGCACUUUUGUCCGGAAAGAAAUCCUUGGCUCUAAUACAGUCGGGGGAUGACGGUACCGGAAGAAUAAGCACCGGCUAACUACGUGCCAGCAGCCGCGGUAAUACGUAGGGUGCGAGCGUUAAUCGGAAUUACUGGGCGUAAAGCGUGCGCAGGCGGUUUGCUAAGACCGAUGUGAAAUCCCCGGGCUCAACCUGGGAACUGCAUUGGUGACUGGCAGGCUAGAGUAUGGCAGAGGGGGGUAGAAUUCCACGUGUAGCAGUGAAAUGCGUAGAGAUGUGGAGGAAUACCGAUGGCGAAGGCAGCCCCCUGGGCCAAUACUGACGCUCAUGCAGGAAAGCGUGGGGAGCAAACAGGGAUUAGAUACCCUGGUAGUCCACGCCCCUAACGAUGUCAACUAGUUGUGGGGGAUUCAUUUCCUUAGUAACGUAGCUAACGCCGUGAAGUUGACCGCCUGGGGAGUACGGUCGCAAGAUUAAAACUCAAAGGAAUUGACGGGGACCCGCACAAGCGGUGGAUGAUGUGGAUUAAUUCGAUGCAACGCGAAAAACCUUACCUACCCUUGACAUGGUCGGAAUCCCGCUGAGAGGUGGGAGUGCUCGAAAGAGAACCGGCGCACAGGUGCUGCAUGGCUGUCGUCAGCUCGUGUCGUGAAAUGUUGGGUUAAGUCCCGCAACGAGCGCAACCCUUGUCCUUAGUUGCUACGCAAGAGCACUCUAAGGAGACUGCCGGUGACAAACCGGAGGAAGGUGGGGAUGACGUCAAGUCCUCAUGGCCCUUAUGGGUAGGGCUUCACACGUCAUACAAUGGUCGGAACAGAGGGUUGCCAACCCGCGAGGGGGAGCUAAUCCCAGAAAACCGAUCGUAGUCCGGAUUGCACUCUGCAACUCGAGUGCAUGAAGCUGGAAUCGCUAGUAAUCGCGGAUCAGCAUGCCGCGGUGAAUACGUUCCCGGGUCUUGUACACACCGCCCGUCACACCAUGGGAGUGGGUUUUACCAGAAGUGGCUAGUCUAACCGCAAGGAGGACGGUCACCACGGUAGGAUUCAUGACUGGGGUGAAGUAAUAACAAGGUAA
rnacentral:rRNA from 1 species